rnacentral:rRNA from 1 species
GACGAACGCUGGCGGCGUGCCUAAUACAUGCAAGUUGAGCGCUGAAGGUUGGUACUUGUACCAACUGGAUGAGCAGCGAACGGGUUAGUAACGCGUGGGGAAUCUGCCUUUGAGCGGGGGACAACAUUUGGAAACGAAUGCUAAUACCGCAUAAAAACUUUAAACACAAGUUUUAAGUUUGAAAGAUGCAAUUGCAUCACUCAAAGAUGAUCCCGCGUUGUAUUAGCUAGUUGGUGAGGUAAAGGCUCACCAAGGCGAUGGUACAUAGCCGACCUGAGAGGGGGAUCGGCCAAAUUGGGAAUGAGACACGGCCCAAACUCCUACGGGAGGCAGCAGGAGGGAAACUUCGGCAAUGGACGAAAGGCUGACCGAGCAACGCCGCGGGAGUGAAGAAGGGUGUCGGAUCGUAAAACUCUGUUGGUAGAGAAGAAAGUGGGUGAGAGUGGAAAGCACAGCAAGUGACGGUAACUACCCAGAAAGGGACGGCUAACUACGUG